GCGUUUGUAUCUCGCUGACCCGGUUGGCCACAUAGGUGGCCCACGUCGAUGGAUGUCCUCGGAUCCAGCCGAGUGUGACUGUGGAAUCCGACCACAUGUGAAGAGGUGCCCUUUCAGCUCCGAUGAUCGGCAAGGUGUGGGCGACGAGACGAGCCAGAAGAGUCACUGCAGAUAGCUCCAGUCGAGGUAGAUCACCGCGGAGUAGGCACGCUCGGAGGCAUCGGCGAAUCCGUGGACUUCCAGCAUUGAUUCAGUCAAACCUCCCAGCCAUCGAGGUACGAUCACUUUUUCCAGAGCUGGCAACUCGCUCUGGAAUCGCAACCAUCUUCUAGCUUCGUCGCUAGGUAGCGGAGCGUCCCAAUCCAGACCUAGCAACCAGGUAGACUGGAUGAAGAUUUUUGCUAAUAUCGUUGUUGGUGCCAGCCAGCCAAAGGGUCGAACAUCUUAGCUGUCAACGAAAGUACCGACCGUUUGCUGAAGGUUGAUAGUGUGAUAGCUUUGGUAGCGAAUGCGAAGAGAUCGUCACGUGGUUGCCAUCUUAGACCGAGAGUAGAGUGACUCUCGCCGGGCAGCCACCAUCUAGCCUCUUGUCGCAGACGGUCGUCGGGCUUCACUUGGUUCAGCAACAGCGAAUGGUUUGCCGACCAUUUCUUAAGCGAGAAGCCGCCCGCCCUGCAGAUCUCCAUCAGCUGUUGGAUCAUGACCUCGGCUUCCUCCAUGGUCUCCGCGCCUGACAGGAUGUCGUCCAUGUAGACGUCGCUCAGCAGGAUGAGAGCUCCCUUCGGGUAGCGAUGUCCCUCAUCCUCGGCAAGUUGGCGCAAAGUACGGAUCGCCAGAUAAGGAGCACAGGAAAGCCCACUUUGGUCGUCGGGGUGCACAAGGAUCUGCCUGUACAUCUUCUCGAUGUCAGUAGCGAAGACGUAGCGAUGGCGUCGCCAACUCAGUAGGAUGUCGGCCAGAGAAGGUAGUAGAUUCGGUCCCGUUGCUAGAUAUCUGUUGAGGGAGUCUCCGUUUGGCAAGGAGCUCGAGCCGUUGAAGACUACCCUCAGUUUUGUGGAGGUGCUGUCAAGACGCAGGACCCCGUGAUGCGGUAGAUAGCAAGCUCCCGGACGCGUGGUAGUCGAAGGCGGAGCAGGCAUCAUGUGGCGCAGGUCUAAAGCCCGGCGGGCGGCGCGGAUUGUUCCAGAGAGAUCCGGCAGAGAUUCCGUCGUGGGCAGGCGCACGACGUACCGGCCGUCGGCGUUGCGUGUGUGGUACUGACGAUAGUGCUCUUCGCACUCCCGCUCGACCUUGGUGAAGAGCUGAGACGGCUGUCGAACCUCUUCCUGCUCCCAAAAGCGACGUACCAAACAGACCCUGGCGGAUGAUUAAUCCGUGGACGUGGCGCCCAGCAGAAGGUCUACUGGAUCAGCGGAAUGGAAUUCUGGAUCGGCGAGCUCCAGGUCCCUGAGAUGUGUCCAGGAUUGCAGGCUUCGGCGGCAUCCUCCGGAGAAUAGAGUCAGCUUCGGCAAAAUCAAGGCGGAGACGGAGUUGGACGUCUCACCGUUGAGCGCUCGAAAGCUGCUGCAAAACAUUAUGAAGUGGUCCCCCUGGCAACCGGCGCACCGACUUCUGGACCUGUCUUUCGGCUCAGUUUUCUUUACGUGAUGGCUUCGUGUUGCUUUGGUAUUGCUGCUGCUGUUGCUGUCGUUCUUCACAGGAAACAGAGCCUCUAAGGUCUGGCUGCCUGGUUCCUGCCGAUGAUGGAUUGAAAGAGGUCUCGGAAGGACGGCCAGUCUUCGUACUUCCCGGCGAAGGUCGGUGGCUGGAUUUUUGGCAGCGCUGUCCGAGGAGCGGAGGUCGUUGGCGCGGCCGAGGUAGAGCUGGCUGCCUGCAGCCGCCGCUGGAGAGCGCUCUUUAGGUCGAGCAUGAGGCCCUUAUUCUGCAGCUUCUCGAGGUUUUGAAGCCGGGCCUCUACUGCGCCGAGGGUGAUGUUGGCCUCGCCGAGCUUCCGCAAGUUGUCGUACGCGCGCGAGAUCUUGCCGUAUAGUACCGUGGCGGUGGCAAUGAUCGCCUUUGUUUCUGCCAUCUCUCACACUGUCUCUCUUUUCCAGAAGCACUGGUCACCGACACUUAAUCACGAUCGCUUCCGUGGCACCGGAUUGACAGGAGGUUCCGGAUAAAGAUCCGGCUCGAAGGACCAAAAAAUGUGCACAACGGAUAGCGGGAAAGGACGGUCGGAAGCGAGACGAUAGAUAGGCACUACACUCGACACACGCGUAUCGU